GCUUGCUGGGUGGAUUAGUGGCGAACGGGUGAGUAACACGUGAGUAACCUGCCCCCGACUCUGGGAUAAGCCCGGGAAACUGGGUCUAAUACCGGAUAUGACCUCGCACCGCAUGGUGCGGGGUGGAAAGAUUUAUCGGUGGGGGAUGGACUCGCGGCCUAUCAGCUUGUUGGUGAGGUAAUGGCUCACCAAGGCGACGACGGGUAGCCGGCCUGAGAGGGUGACCGGCCACACUGGGACUGAGACACGGCCCAGACUCCUACGGGAGGCAGCAGUGGGGAAUAUUGCACAAUGGGCGAAAGCCUGAUGCAGCGACGCCGCGUGAGGGAUGACGGCCUUCGGGUUGUAAACCUCU
rnacentral:rRNA from 2 species